rnacentral:lncRNA from 1 species
GCUUUUACGCAGUGUUUUGAGGUGCAGGACUGCAAUGCCCGCACUUCCGGACCCCAGACUCUUCCUACGGCGACUGACACCUCAGACACGCGUUGUGGGGGGCGGCGCUCUGGCUCCGGGGCUGUGCCCAGCGCGAGCGUGGCCGGCACCCACUUGCUGCAGAGCCGGCACUGCACUGGGGUUCUUGGGGGCGGCUCCUCCAGACGUCUCUGCGGGUUGUCGGGUGCUGCCGAGUUGGGUUGGGGGACGCUACAGGUAGUGGGUCCGGAGCAGCGGCUGGCCCCUCAUCUCACUGCCCUUCCUCGGACCCCACCGUCCUCUGGAAGCUUGUGCAGGGCACCUGCCACUGUGACCACCUGGACGCAGUGGGUUGUUUUUUCCGUUUCCAUCUCUGGCUAGUCUUGAAGGCUAGACUUGCGUAGGAGAGCAGACACGAGGACAUGAGCCAGUUCUGCUGAGCUGUUACUGUAUACCUGCUUUCCCACAACAGCAAGGAAGAACCAUGGCCCAGGGGUCACUGUCAUUCGGGGACGUGGCUGUGGGCUUCACCCGGAAAGAGUGGCAGCAGCUGGACCUGGAGCAGAGGACCCUGUACCAGGAUGUGAUGCUGGAGAACUACAGCCACCUGCUCUCUGUGGGCUGAACUGUCUGCUUGCUUGGAAGGCCCAGCUGGCUCAGCACAAAUCCUUUAACCGUUUCUCCCCAAGAGGGUGUCAAGUCAGCAAACCAGCUGUGAUCUCCAGUUUGGAGCAGGGGAAGGAGCCAUGGAUGGAGGAGGAAGAGAUAAGGACGUGGAGCUUCCCAGAAAGCUGACUUCAUGAGACCGAGGAUCUCGUUCGUUGAUCGAUGCUACAUAUUCAGCAUGUUAGAUAAUGAGGUUGGUGAGAUUGAUGAAAUCCCGCCCACCAGGGCCGACCCACAAAGAGCCACUUUAUGAAGAACAUGCUCCUGAACUCCACUCCACAACCAGCUUUUGAAAAGAAAAAUCUGAAAAAAUUUGACCUCAGUUAAACUGGUCCAAAUGCCUGAGCAUAACCAAAAUCUUUCCUCAUUCACUCUUCACGUGGACCGUGUUUAAUUUGGUUGCUGGUGAUCAUAUUUGUUUUAGUAAAGGCUGUCACUCUAUCUUGGGCGAAG